AGAACGAACGCUGGCGGCAUGCCUAAUACAUGCAAGUCGAACGAACUCUUCGGAGUUAGUGGCGCACGGGUGCGUAACGCGUGGGAAUCUGCCCCUUGGUUCGGAGUAACAGUUGGAAACGACUGCUAAUACCGGAUGAUGACGAAAGUCCAAAGAUUUAUCGCCAAGGGGUGAGCCCGCGUAGGAUUAGCUAGUUGGUGAGGUAAAGGCUCACCAAGGCAACGAUCCUUAGCUGGUCUGAGAGGAUGAUCAGCCACACUGGGACUGAGACACGGCCCAGACUCCGUACGGGAGGCAGCAGGUAGGGAAUAGUUGGACAAGUGGGACGAAAGCCUGAUCCAGCAAUCGCCGCGUGAGUGAGUGGAAGGUCCGUUUAGGGUUAGUAAACGUUGUACGUUUUA
rnacentral:rRNA from 1 species